rnacentral:rRNA from 1 species
UUUUAUGGAGAGUUUGAUCCUGGCUCAGAGUGAACGCUGGCGGCGUGCCUAAUACAUGCAAGUCGAACGAUGAAGCUUCUAGCUUGCUAGAAGUGGAUUAGUGGCGCACGGGUGAGUAACGCAUAGGUCAUGUGCCUCUUAGUUUGGGAUAGCCAUUGGAAACGAUGAUUAAUACCAGAUACUCCCUACGGGGGAAAGAUUUAUCGCUAAGAGAUCAGCCUAUGUCCUAUCAGCUUGUUGGUAAGGUAAUGGCUUACCAAGGCUAUGACGGGUAUCCGGCCUGAGAGGGUGAACGGACACAUUGGAACUGAGACACGGUCCAGACUCCUACGGGAGGCAGCAGUAGGGAAUAUUGCUCAAUGGGGGAAACCCUGAAGCAGCAACGCCGCGUGGAGGAUGAAGGUUUUAGGAUUGUAAACUCCUUUUGUUAGAGAAGAUAAUGACGGUAUCUAACGAAUAAGCACCGGCUAACUCCGUGCCAGCAGCCGCGGUAAUACGGAGGGUGCAAGCGUUACUCGGAAUCACUGGGCGUAAAGAGCGCGUAGGCGGGAUAGUCAGUCAGGUGUGAAAUCCUAUGGCUUAACCAUAGAACUGCAUUUGAAACUACUAUUCUAGAGUGUGGGAGAGGUAGGUGGAAUUCUUGGUGUAGGGGUAAAAUCCGUAGAGAUCAAGAGGAAUACUCAUUGCGAAGGCGACCUGCUGGAAUAUUACUGACGCUGAUUGCGCGAAAGCGUGGGGAGCAAACAGGAUUAGAUACCCUGGUAGUCCACGCCCUAAACGAUGGAUGCUAGUUGUUGGAGGGCUUAGUCUCUCCAGUAAUGCAGCUAACGCAUUAAGCAUCCCGCCUGGGGAGUACGGUCGCAAGAUUAAAACUCAAAGGAAUAGACGGGGACCCGCACAAGCGGUGGAGCAUGUGGUUUAAUUCGAAGAUACACGAAGAACCUUACCUAGGCUUGACAUUGAGAGAAUCCGCUAGAAAUAGUGGAAUGUCUAGCUUGCUAGACCUUGAAAACAGGUGCUGCACGGCUGUCGUCAGCUCGUGUCGUGAGAUGUUGGGUUAAGUCCCGCAACGAGCGCAACCCCCUUUCUUAGUUGCUAACAGGUCAUGCUGAGAACUCUAAGGAUACUGCCUCCGUAAGGAGGAGGAAGGUGGGGACGACGUCAAGUCAUCAUGGCCCUUACGCCUAGGGCUACACACGUGCUACAAUGGGGUGCACAAAGAGAAGCAAUACUGCGAAGUGGAGCCAAUCUUCAAAACGCCUCUCAGUUCGGAUUGUAGGCUGCAACUCGCCUGCAUGAAGCUGGAAUCGCUAGUAAUCGCAAAUCAGCCAUGUUGCGGUGAAUACGUUCCCGGGUCUUGUACUCACCGCCCGUCACACCAUGGGAGUUGUGUUUGCCUUAAGUCAGGAUGCUAAAUUGGCUACUGCCCACGGCACACACAGCGACUGGGGUGAAGUCGUAACAAGGUAACCGUAGGUGAACCUGCGGUUGGAUCACCUCCUUUCUA